rnacentral:rRNA from 1 species
GAUGAACGCUGGCGGCGUGCCUAAUACAUGCAAGUCGAGCGAACGGACGAGAAGCUUGCUUCUCUGAUGUUAGCGGCGGACGGGUGAGUAACACGUGGGUAACCUACCUAUAAGACUGGGAUAACUUCGGGAAACCGGAGCUAAUACCGGAUAAUAUUUUGAACCGCAUGGUUCAAAAGUGAAAGAAGGUCUUGCUGUCACUUAUAGAUGGAUCCGCGCUGCAUUAGCUAGUUGGUAAGGUAACGGCUUACCAAGGCAACGAUGCAUAGCCGACCUGAGAGGGUGAUCGGCCACACUGGAACUGAGACACGGUCCAGACUCCUACGGGAGGCAGCAGUAGGGAAUCUUCCGCAAUGGGCGAAAGCCUGACGGAGCAACGCCGCGUGAGUGAUGAAGGUUUUCGGAUCGUAAAACUCUGUUAUUAGGGAAGAACAUAUGUGUAAGUAACUGUGCACAUCUUGACGGUACCUAAUCAGAAAGCCACGGCUAACUACGUG